CCCACUCCACCGCCCCCUGCCGCCGCGUCCUCCUCCCUCUCGUCGACGGCGCCGGCGCCUUCGACCUCGCCUCAGCCGCCGCCACGGCUCCACCAACUCCGCGUCCUUGCGCCUGCCGCCCGCGACCUCGGCGGGAUGAGAGUACGCGCGCCCUCGAGAUCCGCUGUCGCUGGGUUUCGAAUUUUUGCCGCGAUCUUGUUGCUUUUGUUUAGCGUGCUGCAUGUUCGAUAUCCAACUGUGAGCUUGUGCUGCAUGAUCCGGGCACAUAAGUUUCAAGUUAUGGUGCUCGGUUACCACAACUGAUGCGCUUAGAUUCAGCGAAUAUAACGCAGUUUUUAUUUUUUAAGCAGUUCUCAGAAUGCCAUUGAAUCCAUGGAUGGGGGAAGUUGGUGGUUACUGGAAUCUUUGGUUACGCUAAGCCUGUUCAGUGAUGGAAAAGUUCAUGAUUUUUCUUUUCCAUGCCUUACCUGUUUCAUUCAGUUUGUCUCUUUGGGUUAAUAAAUAAUAUCCAUGCCUUUCACUUCAUUUGCAGAUUCGGAUGUUCAGAACUGGAGGAAUCCCAGCACUACCGUCUAAAUGGUUAGGCCCAUCACAAAUUGAGGCACGCGUUAAAACUACGUUUGCCACAAAUUUCUUGCCCUUUUCAUGGAUGGUCCAUACUGCAUACCUUUUGGAUGGUGGCCAAACUGACACCCACAAGUUGUAAACUGUUUCAUGAUAUAUCUAUCAAUUACGUGUUACAAGGUUAUUCUGGUAUAUGAGCCGUCGCUACUGAGAGUUUCAGUUGUUCAGACAGAGCGUUCACACUGAACCGAAGAAAGAGCCAGGAGAUGGUGACGCUGAUCAACCUUGUGCUCAAAACAGGAAACGCGAAGGAAGAAAUCUGCAGCAGACAGGGACCCUGCAUCCCUCCAUUCAUUUCGCGGGUGCUGCUCCGUCCUCGCAACCACAUGGGACCCUCCCUAGGAGCCUCGAUCUCCAGAAGCUAUGCUCUCCAGUGGCCGGCCGGCCGGCCAGCCGGGCGAAACGCCGGCCACGGCGUCCCAUAAGAUAAGGCAAGCGAGGCGUGAACACCACAAUGGUCUUGGAGCUGGAACGCCUUGGAUGCCAUCUCGUCUGGUCUUGGCCGCAAUCCUCGCAGUCAUGUGCGCCACAUGUACCCUGUCGGCGAGGCCAUGGACAGCCGCAUGUUACCGCUGAAAUCUGAAUGGAUGGGCGAGGCAAGUGUGCGAGGGCAAGCGCCCCAGAUUCAGCUCUCUCGCCAGAGAAGGGCUUUCUGUUCGAGCCUUGACCGGCCAGCUCUGGCUGUGCCGGCCAACUUGGUAGCUUGUUUGCCACUUGAUAGGGGCCAAGUGGAAUGGUGAAGCAAGAUUCUGGAUCUUGUGCCCAUCUUUGGCAAUCUUCAGAGCACAUGUUCUCAAUGGCCAAUGGGGUGCCAGCUGAAGAGGAACAAGUGUGUUUGUGUUGUUGCAUGAAUUUUUGUUCUCGCUUUUAGCAAGAUUCUUAGUAAAUGGGGUGUUAACUUUGUGGUUGAGAUUGAAGGAGAAAAAUUCCAUGUCCAUGAAAGGACUAGUGGAUUUGUUGAUGUAAUAAGGAUCAGUUGAUUGAACUGAUGAAUUCGUGGAUUCAAUUCCUUUUGACAGUGAACUGAUGAACUGAA